UUUCUACCCUGCUAGAGCCCAGGAAUUUGGAAUUAGAUGUUCGACAAGCAGGUGUCCACAUACUUUUGUUCAUGUAGAGUACCAUAUGGUGGGAAGUACUGUAUCAAUGAAAGACAUACUGAAAUGCAAAAUAAUAUUUCAACAUGUAUAUGUGGUGGACCUGGAUCUGGUGAGAGUUGAACACAGGAGAUGUCUAUCCUAUCUCUCGAGUCUGCCAAGCAGAUAAUGUCAGUCCAUCCAUUGCAGAAGACCUAGACCUGCAUGAUGAGUGGGAUACAGACCUGGAGGUUGAUGAAGGUGAAAAAGACCACCGCUGAGAUGUACCUGCAGGCCUGCAACCUGGUCCGAGUGGUUCCUGUCUCUUACUUCCUCUGGAAUCUGGGCACCUCCACCAUGAGCCACAACCACCACGGCAUGGGACCCCUGGGGGGAGGCGCUGGUCAUUGCCCUGGUGAUAAGUCUGCUGGAUGUCUAUUGACACAUUAUCAACUUCAAGGAAUGCUCAUCAACAGGACAUAUGGACUAUCAUCUGUUGUCCUUGACUGAUGGAUUCUGUACUUCAGAUGUCUCUGUUGUUAGCUCCAGUGCUGGGUUACUGUUCUCAGACUCCUCUGUGGGGGAACAGGGACAUGCACAUCACCAACCUGGAGCUGGCAGGAAACUACCUGCUGGCUGAGGGAGCCAAAUACCCUGUGGCGAUGUUGAAGGCAAAUUUCCCCAUUCGCCAUCUGGGAAUGGAUACAUAGAGGACGAUGCUAAAAGUUUUGCAGAUGCCCUGGCAAGUGAAGGAGCUGGACUUGAGCCACAAUCAGUUCUGUGGGAGAAGUGGAGAGCAUCUGGGGCAGAUGUUAGCAAAUUAUGAAGGUCUGGCGGUACUUGACUUAAGCUGGAACAUCUGCAAAUGAAAGGAGCUGUGGCUUUCUGUGCCGGCCACAAGGUGAAUGUGACCCUGAAACACCUAGACCUGUCCUGGAAUGUCUUUGGGAAUAAGGGGCCUUGACUUUAAGAGAGGCACUGAAAUUCAGCAACACUCUGGUAUCGAAAUAUCUAGACCUCAACUACAACUGCAUCACCAAUGAGGGGGUGGGCAUGCAGUGCAAGGGCUGGAGGCCAACGACACUCUUGGAGUGCUGACACUGACUUAUAACUCUCUGACAGUGGAGGGGCGCUGGCUGUCACUGUGGUCAAGAACACGCCCAGAACUGCUCUGGAGGAGUUCAACAUAUCUAAUCCAGUCUAGAGGUGCUGUAUGGAGGUGUCAGAGGCUUUAUCGCUAACAAAACAUCCAAAUGCCUUGACCCAGGAUUAUCUGGAUCAACAAAAGCUGCACCUUUGGGACUGUCCCACAAAGAUGGGACAAUGCAAGUGCCUGUAGCAGACUUCAGGAAGGCUGUGCAGCUCUCAAACUAAUUGCUCAUCCCAUAGUCCCUGACAUUUGCAGGGUCUGUUGAGCUAAUGCAUUUCCAAUGCUCGAAGAUACCCCGGAAUACCCUCACUUGCAUGUACUCGUAUGAGUGGUUUCUGUAAUGUUAUUCUCAUACACUGAGUGUACAAAACAUUGGGAAUACCUUCCUAAUAUUGAGUUGCACCCACCAUUCCCUUUGCCCUCAGAACAGCCUCAAUUUAUUGAG